rnacentral:rRNA from 1 species
GACGAGCGCUGGCGGCGUGCUUAACACAUGCAAGUCGAACGGAAAGGACCUGCUUUUGUGGGGUGCUCGAGUGGCGAACGGGUGAGUAACACGUGAGUAACCUGCCCUUGACUUUGGGAUAACUUCAGGAAACUGGGGCUAAUACCGGAUAGGAGCUCCUGCUGCAUGGUGGGGGUUGGAAAGUUUCGGCGGUUGGGGAUGGACUCGCGGCUUAUCAGCUUGUUGGUGGGGUAGUGGCUUACCAAGGCUUUGACGGGUAGCCGGCCUGAGAGGGUGACCGGCCACAUUGGGACUGAGAUACGGCCCAGACUCCUACGGGAGGCAGCAGUGGGGAAUAUUGCACAAUGGGCGGAAGCCUGAUGCAGCAACGCCGCGUGCGGGAUGACGGCCUUCGGGUUGUAAACCGCUUUCGCCUGUGACGAAGCGUGAGUGACGGUAAUGGGUAAAGAAGCACCGGCUAACUACGUG